CACUAUCAUUCAAAUAUGUUGGGCACCCUUGAUAGCUUUCCUGAAUUACAUGUUCAGGUGUAUACAUGUGUGUUUUCACAGCCUAUGGAUGCAGAACAUAAUAAAUUAAAUACUAUGUUAUGAAGCAGCAGAAAGGCUUGGAUUAGAUGUUGAACCUGGGUGACCCAGUGCCAGAUGUAUGCCCCUCCCUAGAAAAAUCUCAGUAACAUUAAUGCUGCUCUUGCCAGCUGCCUGUGCGGAGUGGCUGGUGAGACAGCAUCUCCCCACCUGCCAGCUUCUCUUCCGAAUUGCCUUUCCCUGACACUUUGCUUGAGCUCAUUAGAGACUAAAUGGCCAUCCAGGGGCUCUUAUCAGACAAAAGCAGUGACAUAUCUUUGUUUUGCAAAUUGUUCUUUCAUCUCCCAAACAGAACUGAUGGUGUUUGAACAGGCUUGCUCAACACAUUGGAUCCUGAUUAUCUUCAUUGCCUUUUGUCAAGGACCUGAAUGGCUGCAGCCCACACUACGGUUUCAGUAAUGAAUCCAUCCAGAUUAAGAUUGACGAUCACGGGUGCUAAUCACAGGAACUGUCCAGCUUUUAUUCUCCUUCUGCCACCAUCUGGAAACUUCAUCUUCAAGGCUUGUUAAGUGAUGUGAUUAAGAAGGAGUGUGUUAGUAACAGACUUAUACCUGGAGAGGUUACAGGAAGAUUUUGGAGGAUCCAGCUUGUGCCAUCCAUACAGCUUGCCCUGUGCUCCCUAAGAUAACUGCCUGCCUUUGGAAGCUCUCCUUUCUCUAAAGUUGAAGAAAGAUCCAACUACUAGAGCAAUCUCAAAUACAGUACAUUACAGUAGUCUGAUUGGGAAGCUACCAGUAAAUGCCCUCUGCAUCUGGGGAUUCAACUAUCCAUGACUUGAAAAUAAUAGGCCUGUAGGCUGAAUAAGGCCCUCCAAGGUCAUUUACCGGCCCUGCUCUAAACUUGAGACUUGACUAUCUCAUCAGCCAAAAGCAGGCCCACACUUCCCAUUGAAUGCUGUUCUAGAUCAGCAGGAAUCAUACAGCUGACCACCUAUUCCAGUGCAGCCUGAGCCCUGGCACAUGCACAAUGGAGGACCUUCUCACAGCAAUACCAGAGGCACUCCAAGUGGCCAGCUUCUGGUUUAAGGAUAUUUAGUAUAAUGCCAAGUUUUUAACUUACUUUGUGUUUCUAAAUACAUUACAACUGUGCACUCAGAUCACUUCUGACAUGAUAAAUAAAAAUAAAUAUGCAACUCUCCAAAAGAGAUUGGACUCUCAGGAACCCUAAACCAGAGUACGAAAUGGUGAGGGAUGCAGGAAGUUUCAGGUGCAGUUCAAUCAUCUUGGGGGGGGGGGGGCACCUGAGUCUUCCCAUACCUGCAAAUGCUUCUCAAACCCUCUGCCUGCCAUCCCAACUGGCAUCUUCUUUCCAGCCCCCUCACUGGGCAUCCCUGCUUAGUACUGGUUGAAUGAGUAAUAAACAGAUUUGGAAUGAGUCACCUUCCUCCCCACUCCCACCAGGCAAUUAACUCCAGAUCUGCAGAUAACGAGCUGUACAGGGUUGUCAUUGCCCAAGUACAAAAGCCGCUGCUAUGUUCACUUCAGAUUUAAAAAGCAAAACAAAACAAAACCCUAAGCCUCAAUGUUUGUAACACAAUGUGCAGAAAAUCCUCGGUUUCGAAUUAGGCAGGCAACUGAUGGAUUAGAUGCAGAAAAAAACACAACAGCAAAUGCAGAAGAUCUUGUCUUUGAUUCUUCCCUGACAAGAAGGGUGUCUUGCCUUUACUUGCUGAUAAUUCUUUUUUAUUUUUCUUGCAGCUGCCCAACAACCUCUCUUCCCCCUUAGCAGAUUCCUAAGUGGCUCAUCAUUCUCCCUUAAGGUGCUGGAAGCAGUUGUACCAUUUCAGUGUCAAUAAAGCAAGGGUGGGCAAACAAUAGUCCUCCUGCUAUUUUGGGAUAACAACAACCCACAACAUCCCUGAACACUGUGUUUACAUGGCAGACUGGUGGGAAUUGGAGCCCAACAACAUAGAAAACACAGAGCCACAGAUAAACUCACACAGACCAGAUAAUUUUGGCCAUAAAAGCCUUUGACAACACAUUAAACACACAUUCCACAGAACACAUCACUGUUUGUUUGUGUAUCUUAUUCCCAGGAUGGGAUCCAAAUUUGAUUAUAGUACUUUAAAAUAAGAUUAAGUUAAUCUUCUUUUCCAAAAUUUAGAAAAGGAAUUAAACCCAAGUACAGCAGAGUCUCACUUAUCCAACAUAAACGGGCUGGCAGAACGUUGGAUAAGCGAAUAUGUUGGAUAAUAAGGAGAGAUUAAGGAGAAGCCUAUUAAACAUCAAAUUAGGUUAUGAUUUUACAAAUUAAGCACCAAAACAUCAUGUUAUACAACAAAUUUGACAGAAAAAGUAGUUCAAUACUAGGCUUGCUCAAAUAAUUCGAUUUCCCCGUUACCCGUUAUUAAUUCGUUAUUUUCGUUUGUUUUGAAGCAAUAUACGGCCUUGAUUGUCCACACGUCUGGAUAUCGCGGUUUCGAAUCGCGAGAGGCCGUUUUUUCUUAUUUCUUCGUUUUUUUCGUUAGGAAAAAAAAGCUUUUGCAAAUCACCCAAACUCCCACCAUUCAGGCCCUUUCCUUUUGCCCCUCAGCAAAAGGGGCGUCACGGGCUCAGCCAAUGGGAGGGGGCGAGGGGGAAGGAGGCCGAGGAGGAGGAGGAAGACGGAGGGGGGAAAUGGCCGCCGCCGCCUCGCCUCAGCUCAGGCCUGGAGAGACCAAGAGAGACAGAGAGGGGCCCGGCGGUGAGGAGGAAGAGGCCCGGGAUGCGAGGGGGUGUGGGCCAGGCCCGUCCUCGGCUGCUCCCGGGGAGGGAGGGAGGGAGGACUACGACUCCCAGGGGCCCAGAUUCGCACCCUCCCUCCCCCCAAUACAGGUCUCUCCAUACCACGCUACAUGAACUUGAAUGGAUACUGUGGUUGUGUUGUCAAAAGCUUUCAUGGCCGGGAUCACACUGUUGUGGUAUGUAGUCUGGGCUCUAUGGCCAUGUGCCAGAAGCAUUCUCUCCUGACGUUUCACCCACAUCUGUGGCAGACAUAGAGGUUUUGACGUCUGUGCGAAGCUAGGCAAGUGGGGUUUAUAUAUCUGUGGAAGGUCCAGGGUGGGAGAAAGAACUCUUGUCUGUGGGAGGCAAGUGUGAAUGUUGCAAUUGGUCACCUUGAUUAGCAUUGAAUAGCCUUGCAGCUUCAAAGCCUGGCUGCUUCCUACCUGGGGGAAUCCUUUGUUGGGAGGUAUUAGCUGGCCCUGAUUGUUUCCUGUCUGGAAUUCCCAUUUUCUGGGUGUUUCUGGGAAGGUAAUGGCACUCCAUGUAGUCAUGCCGGCCACAUGACCUUGGAGGUGUCUAUGGACAACACUGGCUCUUGGGCUUAGAAAUGGAGAUGAGCACCAACCCCCAGAGUCAGACAUGACUGAACUUAACAUCAAGGGAUACCUUUACCUUUACCUAUACACACACACACACACACACACACACACACAUAUGCAGGGACUAUAUAUAUAUAUACACAGUAUAUAUCACACACACACCAAUUUAACAAAGUUUCAGCCACAAAAACAAAGUUUCUGAAGUAGAACAAUGACCUUCACAGUAAAGACAACCCAAUUUAACAGGAAAUAAGACUUUCAAACCAGGAACAGAUUUCUGCAAUUAUUAAAAAAUGGUUUAUUAUAAAAGCUAUGAAAAUUCUCCAAAAAUCAGAGGAUAAGGGAAACGUUCCAAAUUUUGGUGAGCUAUCAGUGUUAAAUGUGUUCUACCACUGUACCAAGUUUGAAGAAGAUCACUCAAAAAAUGAGGGUGGGAGAGUCCUGUAAAGUCCUCUCCCUCUGUGCUGUUUUUGGGAAUUGCGCAUGCGCGUCCGCCAUUAACGAAUUAAUUUUGAAAAUAACGAAUUUUCGUUAAUUUCGAAUUUUUGGGGGGGCAAAAUUCGGAAAUACCUUCAGAAACGAAACGCUGCCCCCCUCUAGUUUUGAAACGAGUUUAGAAUCAAAUUUUUCGUGGAUCGAUCAA